AUGAAUAAAACUUGGCUUUCCCCCAAAAAAAUAGUAUCACCAUCAAUAAAAAAAAUAGGUGAACGUAUGCGUUUUCCUAUAGGAAAACGUUUCAGAUCGGCGGGCCGGCCGAACGUUCCGCCGGUCGCGCUCGCACUCUCGCCCACAUGCACCCUGAUUCUCACGCGCACCACGUGUUUGUGGGGUCCCACGCGCACCAGCACGUUUUUAUCCCAGCACCGCUCAUCCACACAGUUCAGGUACGCCCUUAUCUCUUUCUUCAUCUUGUUUCUUUUCUUCCCCCUAGAGUGCUCGUCGUCCAGCCUUGCUUCCUCCCUUGCGCCGCCACAUCCUAGCUCCGACGAGCUCCACCACCGGCGACUCCCCUCUACUACUCUUUCUCUCUUUCGAACGAGUAUUUUUCCUUCCUCCCCCUCCUUCUCUACUGUUGACGCCGGGGGCCAUUCGCAGAUGCAUCUCACAAGGGCCGCGAGCUGGCAGUUGCGGCUACCGAGUCGCACGCGAGCUUCCACGGCGGCCACGCAGGGGAUGGGGGUGCUGCAACCGUGGAGUGCAGAUGCUGGAUCCACGGUGCGCAGAUGUUGGAACCAUCGGCGGGAGAUGCUGGAAGCUGCAACUUCCGGCGGUGACCACACCUGGCGCAGCGGAGCUGCAACCGUAGUUCGGCGGAGCUACAACCAUAAGCCGGUGGAGUUGCAACCAGCAAAACAAAUGCUGGAACCGGCGACAACAGUGCUGCGACGGCCACGACGGCGAUUCAUCCUUGCUGGAACCAGCAAAUUUUUUUGCUGGAAGCAUCUCCUUUUUUUGCUACGGCCCAGUGACGACGAUUCAUAUUUUUGCUGGAAGCGGCAAGUACUUUUGUUGGAACCAUUUUCUUUUUUUUGUUGCAAGCAUUAUUUCCUUUUGUUAUCACCGUUUUGA
rnacentral:rRNA from 1 species